rnacentral:rRNA from 1 species
AGCGAACGCUGGCGGCAGGCCUAACACAUGCAAGUCGAACGAAGUCUUCGGACUUAGUGGCGGACGGGUGAGUAACACGUGGGAACGUGCCUUUAGGUUCGGAAUAACUCAGGGAAACUUGUGCUAAUACCGAAUGUGCCCUUCGGGGGAAAGAUUUAUCGCCUUUAGAGCGGCCCGCGUUUGAUUAGCUAGUUGGUUAGGUAAAGGCUCACCAAGGCGACGAUCAGUAGCUGGUCUGAGAGGAUGAUCAGCCACAUUGGGACUGAGACACGGCCCAAACUCCUACGGGAGGCAGCAGUGGGGAAUCUUGCGCAAUGGGCGAAAGCCUGACGCAGCCAUGCCGCGUGAAUGAUGAAGGUCUUAGGAUUGUAAAAUUCUUUCACCGGGGACGAUAAUGACGGUACCCGGAGAAGAAGCCCCGGCUAACUUCGUGCCAGCCGCCGCCGUAAGAC